rfam:Gossypium hirsutum cultivar TM-1 chromosome 4, whole genome shotgun sequence
UAUUAAUUCAUCUAUUUCUACUAUUAAAAACUAGCGUGGCUGACAGACUAAUCAAACAUUACACGUGGUGUAACUUGUACCUUAUUCUGGCAUACAAGGAUCAAUUUUUAAUAGUAAAUUUGAAUAAGAUUUUUAACA